UACGUAGGGUGCAAGCGUUGUCCGGAAUUAUUGGGCGUAAAGAGCUUGUAGGCGGUUUGUCGCGUCUGCUGUGAAAUUUCGGGGCUCAACCCCGAACUUGCAGUGGGUACGGGCAGACUAGAGUGUGGUAGGGGAGACUGGAAUUCCUGGUGUAGCGGUGGAAUGCGCAGAUAUCAGGAGGAACACCGAUGGCGAAGGCAGGUCUCUGGGCCAUUACUGACACUGAGGCACGAAAGCUAGGGGAGCAAAACAGG
rnacentral:rRNA from 1 species